rnacentral:tRNA from 1 species
GCCCGGGUGGUGGAAUGGCAGACACGGCGGACUCAAAAUCCGCUGCUCGCAAGAGCGUGGGGGUUCAAAUCCCCCCCCGGGCA